UGGUCAAGUUAUUAAGGGUGCAGGGCGGAUGCCUUGGCACUAGGAGCCGAUGAAGGACGUGAUAAGCUGCGAUAAGCUUCGGGGAGUUGCACGUAAACUUUGAUCCGAAGAUUUCCGAAUGAGGAAACUCACUUAGAGUAAUGUCUAAGUAUCAUUAAGUGAAUACAUAGCUUAAUGAGGGGAACUCAGGGAACUGAAACAUCUAAGUACCUGAAGGAAGAGAAAGAAAUUCGAUUCCGUAAGUAGCGGCGAGCGAACACGGAUUAGCCCAAACCAAUAAAGUUUUCUUUAUUGGGGUUGCGGACAUAUCAUAACGAAGAGGUAUCGUAAUUGAAGAGGUUUGGAAAGACCCACCACAGAAGGUAAUAGUCCUGUAUGUUAAACGA
rnacentral:rRNA from 1 species